rnacentral:tRNA from 1 species
GGAUUAGUAGACAAGCGGUUAAGUCAUAGCUUUUUCGAUGCUAGUUGCGCGGGUUCGAAUCCCGUCUAGUCUA